GGGUUAUUUGAGCUUUGUUGGCCUCGGUGCCUUCUGCCAGACCAUCACCACUGCUGUGCUAACAGGUUUGAUUACAGGUUUAAUCUUAAACACCAAACUGCUCAAGGCUGUGCCUGUCUCAAAGUACUUUGAUGAUCAGUUUUACUGGGAGUUUCCCCACUUGUCAGUUGGAUUUUGAAUGGAGGAUCCCAGCUGACAGACAGGACCAAGAUAAAAUUUUCAUCUUUGUCACCAGAAAAAAUUGAACUGCUAUGAUGGAUUAAAAGAGAGCACUGAAAUAUCAACUCCCAGGCCCACAAAAGCCACCCCAAUGGACACUCAAAAAACUGGUGUUAAACUGUUCUAGUUGUUCUUGAAAGAUACAGAGUGUAAAUUCACAGGUGCAAACUUAAAAUGCAUUUUGCUUUUCUGCUCCCUUGGCCUUCAAUAUUUUUUUUUUUGUAAGAUAUGUACAAAAAUGUUGGCUGCAUUCACAGCUUAUCAAUCCAAAUGCUUGGAAACAUUAAACYAUUUUUAGCUCUCGAGUUUACAAGCCAAAAGGAUGGAUUUUAAAGUGUAAUUUUUCCAGGAGCACUACUUAUCUAGCAAAGUACUCGAGUUUUAAAGCUGAAUUGAUUCUGUUGAAAGCCUUGACAAGCCAGGAUUUGAUGAGUGAGCUGGAGCAGGGCCAGAGCUCUGCAUCCUGCCAGACUGAACUCCUGGAAAAAUCUGUCAUUACUUGGCUGGGGCUGGAGGUUCUGAGGGUAAGAAUUUAAAUUGUGGAUGGUGCUGCUGCCAAAUGUGAAAUACAAACUCAGGGCUGUCUCUGUGAGGUGACAGCUUGGCCCAGCACAGAGGAACUGGGAGGACUGGGAGGACUGGGAGGAUGGGCUCAGUGCUGCCAGCACCCAAUUUUGGAAGUGCUUUACUCCCAGACAAGCAGGGCCUUUGGGGACAGAGGAUUCUCUGCAAUUGAACCCUGGUUUUAAGUGGAUUGUGAAUC